rnacentral:sRNA from 1 species
AAAUCCUUCUGUCUCUUAGAAAUUCAGCCACCUCCUCUCUCGGAUCUCUGCCCUCGCAGCCCUUUCAUGUCUCAAAUCUUCUCUGCCUGCAACUGAACAACGUACCUCCCCCUUUGUUGACUAGCCCAUCCGUGGUAGAAAAUCGGAAAAACUGACAGCCAAAGUUGUUUGAGGACCCCCAAUAAUUUCAAAUCCGAGAGAACAACACAAGAACAACACCCUGAAUCUCCAUCUCAUCUCAACAAAAUCAUGUCUCCCAAGCCUCAAGCCAUCACAGAUUCGAUUGACAGUCUUGUAGAUCGAGACCACUGCACACAUGCAACGUAGGUGUCCGAGAUGCACCAAGAGACUGAAGAGACAACCUCGAAGAGCUCCCAAACUCACGGAUCUGCAAAUUGUUAGCGUACAACCGAGAGACAACAACCUGGAGCUUCCGGUCUAG